UACGGAGGGUGCAAGCGUUAUCCGGAUUUAUUGGGUUUAAAGGGUGCGCAGGCGGGGCUUUAAGUCCGUGGUGAAAUCUCUUCGCUUAACGAAGAAACUGCCAUUGAUACUGAAGUUCUUGAAUCUAGUUGACGUUAGUGGAAUGUGUCAUGUAGCGGUGAAAUGCUUAGAUAUGACACAGAACACCGAUCGCGAAGGCAGCUAACGAAGCUAGUAUUGACGCUCAGGCACGACAGCAUGGGGAGCAAACAGG
rnacentral:rRNA from 1 species